rnacentral:tRNA from 1 species
GAGCCCGUGGCUCAAUCGUAGAGCGUUUGACUUAAAUACAAAAGGUCACGAGUUCG